CAACUCGCCUACAUGAAGCUGGAAUUGCUAGUAAUCACAGGUCAGCAUACUGUGGUGAAUACGUUCCCGGGCCUUGUACACACCGCCCGUCACACCAUGAGAGUUGAGAAUACCCGAAGUCCAUGUCAAAGUGGCCGAAGGUAGGCUUGAUGAUUGGGGUGAAGUCGUAACAAGGUAUC
rnacentral:rRNA from 1 species